rnacentral:lncRNA from 1 species
AUGGAGAACUGGGUGAGGGAACAUGGAGCAGAGACCGGUUCCCAGGCGGUGGCCCUGGCCGAAGGUUUCCUCUCGAGCCGAGCAGAAGACGUGAAGCAGGAGGAGGAACAGCAGGGAUUAUUUGCAGAAGAAGCAGUGAACUUUCCUGAGGCAGAGGAGGACCCAUCAGACCCGGGCAGAUGCCUCUCUCGAAAUGGUGGAUCAAGCAGGAGGAGGAAGACGAAGGCGCUCCUUCGUUGGGUAAGGAUUCACAAGACAUUUCCCAGCUUGGGUCUUCCCCUUUUGAGCGGGUCUCUCUUGUUUUCCCUUGAGCCUGUGUUGGGGAGGAGCUGACUCCACCAAAUUCUUAGCUUCCGUUGUUUGGGAAUUUAUGCAGUAUUUUCUGGAAGGGCAAUUUUAUGGGAAUUAAACUCUAGUUCCCAUAGUAGCAGACUUUUGUGGAAGACACGCCUGGGCCAUUUGACCAUUUAGCUAUUUCUCUUUUCCCUCCUAUAAAAACUACGCAAGACACUCUCUUUUUAAGUUUUGUUGUUGUUGAAAUAUAUAUAUAUUUGAUUUUCCAAAAUAUAAACAUACAACAAAACAACUUCCAAAUUUAAUGAUUGAGAUUACUCUGAAUCGCCUGACUUCCCCCCAUCCCUUCCACGGGUCCUAUUGAUUCUCUUUCAACUGUAUAUCAAAAACUUCUCCAAUUUUUCAUCUUCCUUAUGUACAUUCUGUUACAUUUCAAGUGUGUUUAAAAUCCUGCUAAUGUUUUGACCUCUUUACAAUGAUUUUGUAUAUAAAUUAUAAAUAUUUCACAUUAUUAUUAAAAUUUCUUGUCUUCUUGAUUUCUGAGCUUCCCAGUUAGUUUUGCCAUUUAAAGUUAAAAUAACAUAAUUUUUUUACUUAGCAUGCUUGCAGUUCUAACUUGCUGCUUUAAACUGUUAAGACUGUGAACUGACAGUGCAACUAAUAGUGGGGCAGGAGAGAUGAAAAUAAUGCCAAUGUGUUUCACCCUGGUAUCAGAUAGUAAUAGUAAUAAUAGUAUUAAUAAUAAUUUUGUUAUUUAUACCCCACCCAUCUGGCUGGGUUUCUGCAGCCACUCUGGGCGGCUCCCAACAGAAUAUUAAAAACACCAAACAUUAAAAACUUCCCUAAGCAGGUCUGCCUUCAGAUGUCUUCUAAAAGUUAGAUAGUUGUUUAUUUCCUUGUCAUCUGAUGGGAGGGCAUUCUACAGGGCGGGCACCACCACCAAGAAGGCCCUCUGCCUGGUUCCCUGUAACAUCACUUCUCGCAGGGAGGAACCGCCAGAAGGCCCUCGGAGCUGGACCUCAGUGCAUGGAUAGACAGGUAUAAGAUGCCUGGGACCCAAAUUUUCAGGGGCCUCUGACUCAUUUACCAGAAGUAAUGUAUUUAGUGUUCACUCUGGAAGUGUAUCCUCUAUUCCAACCAAACUAAGCUCUCCUACUCCACUAUGAAUGUUGGCCACUAUCGGAACUGGGUUUUGAACCAGAUGGGCCCCCUUAGGCCUGAUCCUGAAGGCUCAUUUUGUGCUCUUAAUCCUCCAUUAAUUUGUUUAGAGGAACCGCUAAACCUAUUGUCUGGUUGUUUUGGUUUUUGUCGUAAGCCUGUCUUGGUUUAAAAGCAGGGCCUAAAUCAGUGGUGUGCUGUGAUUAUUUUUCAUAGGGGAGCAUAAGUCCUAGAGGCGCCAGUUUGCAAGGAAGACUGCGGGGGCGGGGGAACAGACGUCAUAUUCGUGACAUCUUUUUUAAUUAAUUAGUUAGGUUUUUCAGAUUACAAUUUACAAUUACAUAUCCAACAUACAACUUAAAAACAAGACUCCAAAGAAUCUCCUGGACUUCGUUCCUCUCCUUUGUGGGUCCUAUUAAUCAUUUCCUCCUGCACCUUUUAUGUCAAUCACAUCUUUUACAUCUCCAUUGUAUCCAAAAUUCACCAUUAAACUAUAGUGGUACCUUGGUUUUCGAACUGAAUCCAUUCCGGGAGUCUGUUUGACUCCCGAAACUGUUCUAAAACCAAGUCGUGGCUUCCGGUUGGCUGCAGGAGCUUCCUGCACUCAGUCGGAAGCUGCAGAAGCUGUGUCGGACGUUCGGCUUCGGAAAACCGUUUGCAAACCGGAACACUCACUUCUGGGUUUGUGGCGUUUGGGAGCCGAUUUGUUUGACAACUAAGCUGUUCAGUAACCAAGGUACUACUGUACAAGUGUUAUUCCAAUCCUACUAACAAUUUUGGCUGUUUAUAAUGUUUUUUAAGACAAAUUAUAAAUUUUCCCCAUUCCUUAUUAAACUUUUGGUCUUCCUGAUUUCUGAUUCUUCCAAACAUUUUAGCCAUUUCAGCAUCUUGACGUCCUGAUGUCCCAUGCUUGAGAAUCAUGCCUCCCUCUCUAAGCCGGGCAGAAACUUUGUGGUCUUGGGGAAGAAGGCACAUUGGGAACAUUUAAGGGACUAGCCUAGUCCCCUUUAGUCCAUUGACUGAACACCACUGGUCUAAAUAAUUAAGAAACCGGUCUUCCUGUCAUCUUUGUUCCCCUUGCAGGAGAAGGACUGAGGAUUAUUGUGGUGUGUCCUCCCUCGCCCCUUCCUGAUGGCGGAGUGGAAGCACCUUCUGUGCCUCUGGAACAGGUAAGAGAAGAGGCUGCAGGUGAGUCUGGCUGCCUCUGUGUCCUGCACAACUCACUGGGCCUGGAAAAAUUGUGGGAAUGUCGUGGAUAGCAAGAGAGGAUAUAUUGAUGAAAUAUUAUCCUUCCUCACUCACUGCUAGUGAGUCAGUAGCAGAGUACAUUCUCCCAGUAUAGUGCGGAAACUAGUUGGGUAGAUUCGUUUGAAUCUCUUUACUUAAGCAAUCCAAUCUAGGUUGUCCAGACUGGGUUUUGUUUCCUGGUAAAUUUCCCCUUCUUCUUUGUUUUAUUUCAUCUUGAUGUAAUUUUGUGUCUGCGGCUUCUCAGCCCGCAGCACAUGGGCUCAUUCCCAUAUGGGAUGAACUCAAACUCUG